rnacentral:rRNA from 1 species
GGGUCGAUUGCACCAUUGUUGACCAUGGAUGUCACUUAGGUUGUGGAUGAAAGGAUGAAGCUUGCAGUUCAGACAGCAGCGCUGAUAGCUAUGGUUCAAGCCUGAAUCAUGUUGGUCCAUAAGAGAGUUGUUCAUCAGAAUGAAAAACCUCUCAUCUGGUAUGGUCCGAUGUUAAUCCGGGAUCAGAAGAGGAUAGCGAAUCUGAACUACACCUACAACUGCAACGACACAGAUGCUCUGUGGAUGAUUCAAAUGAAAAGAGCACAUUUAGCAAGGCUUGUGCAGACAUUCAGAAGUGGGCUGCUAGAACAUAGCAUCCACACCUGUGUCGAAGAGCAAGUAGUCCUGUUCCUCCAUGUUGUUGGUUAUAACCAAAGGUUAAGGGUUAUACACAACACCUUCAACAGAUCAAUGGAGACCACCUUCAGGUACUUCAAGCAAGUGAUGUAUGUUGUUGGGGAACUCGGAGGAGAGAUGAUUGUGUCACCAACCGGCCGGACUCCUACCAAGAUUUGCACUAGCCCAAGAUGGUAUCCAUACUUCAAGGUGAGCACUGACAGUAUGUAG